rnacentral:rRNA from 1 species
AGUGAACGCUGGCGGUAGGCCUAACACAUGCAAGUCGAACGGCAGCACAGUAAGAGCUUGCUCUUACGGGUGGCGAGUGGCGGACGGGUGAGGAAUACAUCGGAAUCUACUUUUUCGUGGGGGAUAACGUAGGGAAACUUACGCUAAUACCGCAUACGACCUACGGGUGAAAGCAGGGGAUCUUCGGACCUUGCGCGAUUGAAUGAGCCGAUGUCGGAUUAGCUAGUUGGCGGGGUAAAGGCCCACCAAGGCGACGAUCCGUAGCUGGUCUGAGAGGAUGAUCAGCCACACUGGAACUGAGACACGGUCCAGACUCCUACGGGAGGCAGCAGUGGGGAAUAUUGGACAAUGGGCGCAAGCCUGAUCCGGCCAUACCGCGUGGGUGAAGAAGGCCUUCGAGUUGUAAAGCCCUUUUGUUGGGAAAGAAAAGCAGCAGGUUAAUACCCCGCUGUUCUGACGGUACCCAAAGAAUAAGCACCGGCUAACUUCGUG